AGUAGUCACCAACUCACGUGCUUUCACGUGGACAUCAAAUAUGAAGAGGAGGAAGAUGAAGAUAAGGGAGAAUUUAUGAUGCGUGGCUUGAUAGUGAUCAUAUGAGACGACUGGAAUCAUAAUGAAGGCUCCAAAUUUAGGGGGAAAUACAUAAUUUUUAAGUUAGGUUUGAUUAAAAAUUUGUAAUUUUAGUAAAAACACUGUGGAUGUUAUCCCAUCGGCAAAGAUAUCUUGAUAGUGGGGCCUGAUCACCCCAUGAUCACUGAAAUACAUGAAAUAUACUCUCCAUAUAUAGACGUUUGGUUAGAAUAAAAGAAAUGGAGAGUUGCAAUGAAAUCUCAAAUAUAAAAAAAUAUUGUUGGUAUUAUUUUCUUUUCUUGAAGUUUCAUUGUAAUUCUCUCUAAGAGAAAAUUUGACGAAAAAUAGUUCAUACAUAUCUGCAUUUAAAUAUUAUAACAUACUGACCUUCUCUCUAUUUAAUUUAAA